AUGGAGUUGAUGAAUAAGAAGGUAAUGAUGAAGUUAGCUUUAAUGGUUUUCCUCUUGGGCUUCACCGCGAGUGUUGUUAACGCUCGUUUUGAUUCAACUUCCUUCAUCACUCAACUGCUCUCCAAUGGCGAUGAUGUGAAAUCAGCAUGUUGUGAUACCUGCCUCUGCACAAAAUCAGAGCCUCCUACGUGUCGCUGUGUUGAUGUUGGAGAAAGGUGUCACUCAGCAUGCAACCGUUGCGUUUGUAGAUAUUCUAAUCCUCCUCAGUGCCAGUGCUUUGAUACCCAUAAAUUCUGCUAUAAAUCAUGUCACAACUCUCAGAAGGAGGAGCUCAUUAAGAACUGA